UUCGGUUUGUGUUUAAAUCCUGCUCAUGACGAACGCUGGCGGCAUGCCUAAUACAUGCAAGUCGAACGAGCUUCCGUUGAAUGACGUGCUUGCACUGAUUUCAACAAUGAAGCGAGUGGCGAACUGGUGAGUAACACGUGGGGAAUCUGCCCAGAAGCAGGGGAUAACACUUGGAAACAGGUGCUAAUACCGUAUAACAACAAAAUCCGCAUGGAUUUUGUUUGAAAGGUGGCUUCGGCUAUCACUUCUGGAUGAUCCCGCGGCGUAUUAGUUAGUUGGUGAGGUAAAGGCCCACCAAGACGAUGAUACGUAGCCGACCUGAGAGGGUAAUCGGCCACAUUGGGACUGAGACACGGCCCAAACUCCUACGGGAGGCAGCAGUAGGGAAUCUUCCACAAUGGACGAAAGUCUGAUGGAGCAAUGCCGCGUGAGUGAAGAAGGGUUUCGGCUCGUAAAACUCUGUUGUUAAAGAAGAACACCUUUGAGAGUAACUGUUCAAGGGUUGACGGUAUUUAACCAGAAAGCCACGGCUAACUACGUGCCAGCAGCCGCGGUAAUACGUAGGUGGCAAGCGUUGUCCGGAUUUAUUGGGCGUAAAGCGAGCGCAGGCGGUUUUUUAAGUCUGAUGUGAAAGCCUUCGGCUUAACCGGAGAAGUGCAUCGGAAACUGGGAGACUUGAGUGCAGAAGAGGACAGUGGAACUCCAUGUGUAGCGGUGGAAUGCGUAGAUAUAUGGAAGAACACCAGUGGCGAAGGCGGCUGUCUAGUCUGUAACUGACGCUGAGGCUCGAAAGCAUGGGUAGCGAACAGGAUUAGAUACCCUGGUAGUCCAUGCCGUAAACGAUGAGUGCUAAGUGUUGGAGGGUUUCCGCCCUUCAGUGCUGCAGCUAACGCAUUAAGCAUUCCGCCUGGGAUA
rnacentral:rRNA from 1 species